rnacentral:pre_miRNA from 1 species
CAAGUACUCCCUCCAUCUAGAAUUACUUGUCAUCAAAAUGGAUGUGUCUAGAACUAAAAUACAUCUAGAUACAUCCAUUUCAAUGACAAGUAUUUUCGAACGGAGGGAGUAUAAG